rnacentral:lncRNA from 1 species
AUGCAUAUUGGUUCUAGGAUUGCUAUUUCUAGGAUAAGCAUUUUUAUUGUCCUAGGUUAGGUUGUUGGGGUUUUGCUUCAACCUUUUCUUUAGGCUCAUUCGUAAACCCUAUACCAUGCUUGGUUGACUUCAAAUUAUCAAGAACAUCAUUCAAAUCUUUGUGCGAAGAAUUAAACUUAUCUAAUGUGCCUUUAAGCCUUUCUACUUCAUUUUUGAG